GAGCCUACGGGGGGCAGCAGUGGGGGAUAUUGGACAAUGGGGGAAACCCUGAUCCAGCAACGCGCGUGAGUGAAGAAGUACUUCGGUAUGUAAAGCUCUAUCAGCAGGGAAGAAAGAAAUGACGGUACCUGAGUAAGAAGCCCCGGCUAACUACGUGCCAGCAGCCGCGGUAAUACGUAGGGGGCGAGCGUUAUCCGGAAUUACUGGGAGUAAAGGGAGCGUAGACGGUAAUGCAAGUCUGGAGUGAAAGGCGGGGGCCCAACCCCCGGACUGCUCUGGAAACUGUGUAACUGGAGUGCAGGAGA
rnacentral:rRNA from 1 species